rfam:[Clostridium] termitidis CT1112 Ct_contig00086, whole genome shotgun sequence.
UAAAGUUAUUUGUUUGAGUUUGUCGGUUAAGCAUAGAGGUUUUUACCGGAAAACCUACACGACGUAGGUUUUAGCGAAACGCUGAAGCAUGGAUGCUGAAUGUGAGCGACGGUAAAAUAAUCUAUGAUUAAACGUUACAAAAUCAUCAAAUAACUUGU